rnacentral:rRNA from 1 species
AUGCCCACUUGUGGGUGGAUUAGUGGCGAACGGGUGAGUAACACGUGAGUAACCUGCCCUUAACUCUGGGAUAAGCCUGGGAAACUGGGUCUAAUACCGGAUAUGACUCCUCAUCGCAUGGUGGGGGGUGGAAAGCUUUAUUGUGGUUUUGGAUGGACUCGCGGCCUAUCAGCUUGUUGGUGAGGUAAUGGCUCACCAAGGCGACGACGGGUAGCCGGCCUGAGAGGGUGACCGGCCACACUGGGACUGAGACACGGCCCAGACUCCUACGGGAGGCAGCAGUGGGGAAUAUUGCACAAUGGGCGAAAGCCUGAUGCAGCGACGCCGCGUGAGGGAUGACGGCCUUCGGGUUGUAAACCUCUUUCAGUAGGGAAGAAGCGAAAGUGACGGUACCUGCAGAAGAAGCGCCGGCUAACUACGUGCCAGCAGCCGCGGUAAUACGUAGGGCGCAAGCGUUAUCCGGAAUUAUUGGGCGUAAAGAGCUCGUAGGCGGUUUGUCGCGUCUGCCGUGAAAGUCCGGGGCUCAACUCCGGAUCUGCGGUGGGUACGGGCAGACUAGAGUGAUGUAGGGGAGACUGGAAUUCCUGGUGUAGCGGUGAAAUGCGCAGAUAUCAGGAGGAACACCGAUGGCGAAGGCAGGUCUCUGGGCAUUAACUGACGCUGAGGAGCGAAAGCAUGGGGAGCGAACAGGAUUAGAUACCCUGGUAGUCCAUGCCGUAAACGUUGGGC